rnacentral:rRNA from 1 species
UACGGAGGGAGCUAGCGUUGUUCGGAAUUACUGGGCGUAAAGCGCACGUAGGCGGCUUUGUAAGUUAGAGGUGAAAGCCCGGGGCUCAACUCCGGAAUUGCCUUUAAGACUGCAUCGCUUGAAUCCGGGAGAGGUGAGUGGAAUUCCGAGUGUAGAGGUGAAAUUCGUAGAUAUUCGGAAGAACACCAGUGGCGAAGGCGACUCACUGGACCGGCAUUGACGCUGAGGUGCGAAAGCGUGGGGAGCAAACAGG